rnacentral:lncRNA from 1 species
AUUUGGAAAAAUAACAGGCACUAUGAUAGAAAUAGUAAAAGACUAUGGGAAGUUUGAAAAUCAUAGACACUUACAGGAAGUUUGGCAGUGUUCUACCUUUGCAUUGCUUUUCAUAAUAAAUGAAGAAUACUGUGGUCUGUCUCUGAAUGGGCUUGUGGAGUUGGCUGGGAAGGAAAAUGAAAAAAACGUCUAGGAUGAUGGAAUUUAAUGGAGAUAAGAGAAGAGAGCCACACAGAGAGAGCACCAGUGAAGAUGUGUUCGGAGACUUAACUGCUGCAACUGCAAAUCAAGGAAAGCCUG